rnacentral:rRNA from 1 species
AGUGAAUAGAUACCCUGGUAGUCUACGCCGUAAACGAUGCGCACUAGGUUCGAGUGCCACUGACGGUUCUCGUGCCGAAAAACAAAAGCGUUAAGUGCGCCGCCUGGGGAGUACGGCCGCAAGGCUAAAACUCAAAGGAAUUGACGGGGGCUCACACAAGCGGUGGAGCAUGUGGAUCAAUUCGAAGCAACGCGAAGAACCUUACCUGGGUUUGACAUUCACGGAUGUCGUCCUGGAAACAGGAGCCGAUUGCCUUCGGGUGAAACGUGGACAGGUGCUGCAUGGCUGUCGUCAGCUCGUGCUGUGAAGUGUCGGGUUUAAGUCCCUUAACGAGCGAAACCCUUGUCGCUAGUUGCCAGCGGGUCAUGCCGGGAACUCUAGCGAGACUGCCGGCGUUAAGCCGGAGGAAGGUGGGGACGACGUCAAGUCAUCAUGGCCUUUAUGCCCAGGGUGUCACACGUGCUACAAUGGGGUGCACAGAGCGACGCGAAACCGCGAGGUGGAGCAAAUCGCAG